rnacentral:lncRNA from 1 species
CAGCAACCAUCUCCAGUAUUCCUCCUGGCUCACCCCAGACAAGCAGCUCCUUAUCUUCUUUGAUGAGAUACAACCAUAUGGGAGCCCUGAGGUAGCGUAGGUGGUUAGCAACCGAACACAAGAUUCGAGGAGCUGAAGCCCCAUUGAGUAGUUUCGCCGCUUGCAUUGCAAUUCUCGCAUUUAGAGCGGAUAAGAGGUUCUUUUCAGCAUAAGAGCACGGUAGUCACGCCUCCCAUCUCAUUCUCUGGUCAUGUAUUCGUCCUCUCAGUUCCAGUUCUCACCCAUGGAUGCUUCUGCUCGCGCUUAGCUUCUUUUGACUCUUCUCACACCAUCGGAACUGAAAAAGGUAGAUCGGAACCGAAAGCUACAGAUUCUGAAAGUGGUACACCUACCCCAUGAAGCAGAACCUCCUCUCCGCCUCUUGCAACGCGUCGGACCACCAGGGAACCUCAGUGACACCGUCGACCAUUUCAGAGCUGCUAUGUGGCCAAUCUAUUCAACAAGCGAGGAAUUCAUAGCCAAGGCUCCCAUUCUUGAGCCGAAGACACAAAAUCGCACUUGCUCCUCACCUAAGAUUUGCAUUGUUUGUAACCUCCCCCUCUGUUCCAGAUUUUUCACAGGUAUACGUAUAAAUUUUGGUUUAUUGGGUUUGAUCCUUGAUGAAAUUUCUAUUCCUCUAGGUUGCUUAGAUGUAUAUAAUCUUGCAUUAGAUACUUCUAUUGAUUGAUUCAGUUGAGAUCUGAGAUCCUUGUGUUUGGAUGUUACAUAGUUUGAACCCAUUCUUGACCUCCUCAAGACCUUUAAGCUUGUAUAUAAAUUGGAAGUUGGCACACUCUCAAGCUCCACUAUUGCAAGCUUUAUUAUCCUUCUUUCAAGUUUCAUCCCUUUAGAAUCUCACCGGAAUUACUUAGCAUUUAGUCAAUCUGCAUUUUAUAUGUAUUUUUAGCUGAUUACUAAUAUCCCAAAUUGGCUUCUUGAAUGGUUAUGGGCAUGCUUCAAAGUUGCUUACUACUCAUUUGAUCACUGAACCAAUUUUAUCAUUACAACUUGGUUUUUGAAAAUUGCAUUUGAUUUAGCUAAUAUUCAGUUGAAAGUUUGUAUGAUCUAAAAUUUAUUAGAAUUUAUUUGUAUAUCAUUACUAUCCCCUAGGAAUGGUGAAUGGAGCUUAAACUAAUUUUCAAACACUCAUUUUUUUUAAAUUAUUUUUUAUAACUCUAGUUGCACAAAUAAAUUUAGUGAAUUCAACUUUCUGCUUAGAAAUAGAGUUCUUUAACAUUGUGUAAUUCAAUCAACCAAAUGUGAAAUUUUGCACUUAUUCAUGUUGUUGAGGAAACAGUUGAUAUGGUAAUAACUAGUGACUUUGAUAAGUUUGAAAUUUUGAAUGAUGUUCAAUUAUGUAAAUAAACUGUGUAAGUAUACGAUAAAGAUUAUUCUGAAAUAAAACAGCGUUGAAUUUAUUCUAAAUAAAAGAAUGCCUACAUAUCGUUAGAAUUGAAAUGGACUUAGACAUCAAAACAUUAUAUCAUUCGAUGAUAGUUUCUUUAAAUUUUCUUUGAGUUGAUGAGAGGUUGGUUAAACAACUAUAUAAACUUAUAAGCUUCUUGAGCUACUAGGACUUAGCCAUUUCAAAUUUGUUGGUGUUUGAUCCGUAGCAUUUGUUGUUUUUGAAAAUUUACUAGUGUUUGAUUUGUAAUAUUUGAACAGCUAAUUGGGAGGGAGUUGCCUCAGGUGGUUUUGUUGGUAAGGAAUGCUAGAAAUCAAUUGUUUUAUUUUUUGAAAUUGAUUAUUUCAAGCAUCCCAUAUUUAACUCAGGCUUUUCUUAAUUUCCAAGUCCUCAGUGCUAUGUCAGCGAACCUAAGGAAUCCAACUCCAAUAUAUUGGAGUGUUCAAACUUCUAAUGUAACCUUCAGUACAGCUACUAACUGAACAACAAUGAUUAUUUUAAAUUGUUAUUUGAGUUGGGUAACACUUUUGGAGUAGGUAAAGGUUAGAUAUGAUUAACUGGGCAAACAAUAUAGAUACACACAUAUACAUUUGGGCAUAAAUGAAUUUUGCUGUUAUAUCACUAUUGAUUUCAAUAUCCUAUCUUUAAUAGAUCGCAUGUAUCAAGUGGUCCUCAAGCUUUUAUAGUAUUGAAGUUAUUGAUUUUCAUGCUUAGCUGUGACUUGAAUUCCAUUCCUACAUAAGGAAUGAUAUCACUUUUAUUGCAUGCUUAUGGAUUAUAUAUAUAUAUAUAUACACACACACUUCUAUACUUGUUGAGAUCUGAGAUGGUUUUUAGGAUUAUCACUUUUAUUUAUCAAUGAACUUUUAUUUAUUUCCUCCAUGUUUGAGUAGGUUAAUUUUGUCUUAACCCAUCUCAAGCUAUUUCUUUGAGAAAAUUGUCUAGGUCUUAAGGCCAUAUUGUAAAUAUAUAAAGGGAAAAUUGCUUUUUAGUUCCUGAAAUAUAGUGUAAUUAAUGAAUUCAUCCAUCUAUUUUUAAAACCCAACACUUUCAUCUCUGAGGUUUAAUUAGAAGUACCUCUAAUUUUCCCUUUUAUUGCAUGCUUAUGGAUUAUAUACACACACACACUUCUAUACUUGUUGUUGAGACCUGAGAUGGUUUUUAGGAUUAUCACUUUUAUUUAUCAAUGAACUUUUAUUUAUUUCCUCCAUGUUUGAGUAGGGUAAUUUUGUCUUAACCCAUCUCAAGCUAUUUCUUUGAGAAAAUUGUUAGGUCUUAGGGCCAUAUUGUAAAUAUAUAUAGGGAAAAUUACUUUUUAGUUUUUGAAGUAUAGCGUAAUUAAUGAAUUCGUCCCUCUAUUUUUAAAACCCAACACUUAUGUCCCUGAGGUUUAAUUAGAGGUACCUCUAAUUUUGACGGAAUUAAAAAUAGAGGGACGAAUGGAAUUCAAGUCACUGCUAAGCAUGAAAAUCAAUAAAUUCAAUACUAUAAAAGCUUGAGGACCACUUGAUGCAUGCGAUCUAUUAAAGAUAGGAUAUUGAAGUCAAUAGUGAUAUAAUAGCAAAAUCCAUUUAUGCCCAAAUGUAUAUGUGUGUAUCUAUAUUGUUUGCCCAAUUAACUAUAUCUAACCUUUACCUACUCUAAAAUUGUUACCCAACUCAAAUAGCAAUUUAAAAUAAUCAUUGUUGUUCGGUUAGUAGCUGUACUGAAGGUUACAUUAGAAGUUUGAACACUUCAAUAUAUUGCAAUUGGAUUCCUUAGGUUCGUUAACAUAGCAUUAGGACUUGGAAAUUAAGAAAAGCCUGAGUUAAAUAUGGGGAUGCUUGAAAUAAUCAAUUUCAAAAAUAAAACAAUUGAUUUUUAGCAUUCCUUACCAACAAAAUCAUCUGAGUCAACUCCCAAUUAGCUGUUCAAAUAUUACAAAUCAAACACUAGUAAAUUUUCAAAAACAACGAAUGCUACAGAUCAAACACCAACAAAUUUGAAAUGACAAGUCCUAGUAGCUUAAAAAGCUUAUAAGUUUAUAUAGUUGUUUAACCAACCUCUCAUCAACUCAAAGAAAAUUUAAAGAAGCUAUCAUCGAAUGAUAUAAUGUUUUGAUGUCUAAGUCCAUUUCAAUUCUAACAAUAUGUAGGCAUUCUUUCAUUUAGAAGAAAUUCAACCUUGUUUUAUUUCAGAAUAAUCUUUAUCAUAUACUUACACAGUUUAUUUACAUAAUUGAACAUCACUCAGAAUUUCAAACUUAUCAAGUUACUAGUUAUUACUAUAUCAACGGUUUCCUCAACAAUAGGAAUAAGUGCAAAAUUUCAUAUUUGGUUGUUUGAAUUACACAAUGUUAAAGAACCCUAUUCCUAAGCAGAAAGUUGAAUUCACCAAAUUUAUUUGUGCAACUAGAGUUAUAUAAAAAAAAAUGAGUGUUUAGGGGAUAGUAAUGGUAUACAAGUAAAUUCUAAUAAAUAAGAGAGUAGCACCUACUCCAUAGAAUUAGAUCAUACAAACUUUCAACUGAAUCUCAGCUAAAUCAAAUGCAAUUUUCAAAAAUCAAGUUGUAACAGUUUUAAUAAUAAUUAUAAGUAAUCAAAUGAGUAAUAAGCAACUUUGACGCAAGCCCAUAACCAUUCAAGAAGCCAAUUUGGCAUAUAUACAGUUCUUAGUAAACAGCUAAAAACACAUAAAAUGCAGAUUAACAAAAUACUAAGUAAUUUAGGUGAGAUUCUAAAGGGAUGAAUCUUGAAAGAAGGAUAAUAAAGCUUGCGAUCGUGGAGCUGCUUGAGAGUGUCGCCAACUUCCCAUUUGUAUACAAGCUUAGAGGUCUUGAGGAGGUCAUAAGAAUUGGUUCAAACUAUGUAACAUCCAAACACAAGCAUCUCAACUGAAUUAAUCAGUAGAAGUAUCUAAUGCAUGAUUAUAUACAUCUAAGCAACCUAGAGGAAUAGAAAUUUCAUCAAGGAUCAAACCCUACCCGAAUCCGAAAUGAGUAAAAUUUUUUAAAUCUGAGUUCGUCUAAAUUCGUUUUGUAAAAACCUAAAUCUGUUCUAAUAGAAUUUGGACGGAUCGAAUACUCGUGAAAAUCCGCCCGCUUGCCAUCUCUAACAAACUGGAAUCAUAUUUAAACAGACCAAUACGAACUAAAAUUAACAAAACAGUCCUAAUCAAACCAGCAAUUGUCAAACAGACAAAAGAAUAAAACCAGCAAUAGCCAAACUGACAAAAGAAUAAAACAAGAGCCAAACAGGCAAAAAGAGAAAAUAAUAACCAAACGGAUAAUAACAAAACCGCCACAGCACCGCACCGUAGGAGUAUGGACACUCGCCAUAGUCACCGACAGAACCAGAUCAAGCAUGUGAGAGCAACUAUAAUGGUACAGUAGAAGAAAAUAAUAAAAAUCAAAACACUACAAAUAACAUGCAAGAAAACAGCGGCAAGAG